CGUGGGCGGGUGAUGAAUCUUUAUAUGAUCAAAUGGGUAAUUUGCAUCUGAUGCUUUGCUGUGAUGUUUUCAACCUUGGAGAGCUGACGUCCUAG
rnacentral:snoRNA from 1 species